rnacentral:rRNA from 1 species
UUGAACGCUGGCGGCAUGCUUUACACAUGCAAGUCGAACGGUAACAGGGAGCUUGCUCCGCUGACGAGUGGCGAACGGGUGAGUAAUGCAUUGGAACGUACCCAGUCGUGGGGGAUAACGUAGCGAAAGUUACGCUAAUACCGCAUACGUCCUGAGGGAGAAAGCGGGGGACCGUAAGGCCUCGCGCGAUUGGAGCGGCCGAUGUCGGAUUAGCUAGUUGGUGGGGUAAAGGCCUACCAAGGCGACGAUCCGUAGCGGGUCUGAGAGGAUGAUCCGCCACACUGGGACUGAGACACGGCCCAGACUCCUACGGGAGGCAGCAGUGGGGAAUUUUGGACAAUGGGCGCAAGCCUGAUCCAGCCAUGCCGCGUGAGUGAAGAAGGCCUUCGGGUUGUAAAGCUCUUUCGGCGGGGAAGAAAUCGCACGGGUUAAUACCUCGUGUGGAUGACGGUACCCGAAUAAGAAGCACCGGCUAACUACGU